CUCGUCAAAGGUUUUCUCAAAAAUUAUAAUAUGUUGCAAGAUCGUCAUAUUAUAUUAACUAUUUGCUUACUACUGUGAUUAUGUUCAUAAGAUUUAUUAAUCUUGUUGUAUUUAAUAAUCCACAUUUGUAACUCAAACCAACUUACGUGUUUCGACUUUAGAAUAGAUAAAGAUACUUUUUCUUUACUCACUAGUGACACUCACUUUGCUCCAGUGGGGGACAGUCUUCUCGUAGAAUGGCAGAUCCACCUAGCCCUAGGGUUCAUCAACCCCCUCCUGAGCCUAGGACUCGACAACCCCCACCUGAGCCUAGGACUCGUCAACCCCCUCCUGAGCUUAGGCCCCGCCAGGUCCCACCAGAACCAAAAAGUGUUAAUGCCAUGCCUCCGCCACAGCCUAGAGAACGGCACCCACCACCCCAGCCACGCGAAAGGCACACACCACCCCAACCAAGAGAAAGGCAACCUCCACAAACAUAACAAUAACAGUUUAAUUUAUAAUUUCUUCUUUCUGCACUCAAUCAUGAAUCAGUUUUGUAGUAUUCAAUAUAGAAUAUUUCAUGAAAUAUUUAGGACAAAUAACCUUAUACUAAGCAUUUUUAAAUGUGAUGGAACUUUUUUAUAUUAACAUUUUGUUCUUAUCUAGAUAAAUAAGAUAGGUUAUUAUAGAUAAAGUAUUAAUUAUGGGGCUAAAUCUGUUUAUGUGUGUACUAGCUAUAUUCCUGAAAAGUAGCAACCAUUUUAAGCGAGAAAUAUAUGUGUUAUGUCUUCUAUCUGUUAGAAUUCAUUGGAUAGGAUAUUUUAAUAGGAGAAUAGUUAGCUGGCAAUAAGAUUUACUAAUUUGUGUUAUAAGCAUAGAAAUAUUUCAUAGAAAUACUUUAUAUUAACACUCAAGUAUACAGACUCAGUACUAAGUGGGACUUCUAUAUGUUAAAAAAUAUUGGGAUUGUCAUAUGAGAGCGGUAGGUAGCUACUUAGUGUUUAGUCGCAACUCUGGAUUGUAUCUUUUACAAUUAAAGAGAAAGGAAUUUCUGUGUUUAUAUGUAAUUGUAUUACGCUUUAAUCUAUCAGACUUAUUUUUCUGUUGCAAUUACUGUAAUUUUAAAAUAUUAUUAUAUUGCAUUUAACUAUGUUUAGCCAUAGUAAUCCAAAUGAUAUUUUGAUAAACACAAGGUUUUUAAAAUACAGUUUACAUAAGUUUUCUUACAGAAUAUAUUUAAUAAAAUGUGAUACUAUUUGUACCAUUAAGCCAAAUUUUGUGAAAUAAAUAUUUUUAUGUUGUUCAAAGUUUUUUUCUUAUAUGCGAUGAGUUAAUGUAUUAAAAAAUGCAGCUUGACCUACUUAUCUUUAAUUUGCAAGUGUGAUUUUAGCGCUUAUAAAUUGGAUCUUUAUGGGAAUUAAGGUGGUUUUAGUAUGAUAAUUUGAAGCUAUGUAACAAUUCACUUUAAUGGCUUAAAUAUGAGCUUAUGACUAACAUACAAUUAGGGGUAGUGGGGUUGUAAAGCUUAUAAAAACCUGGUUUAUCUAAAAGUUCAUAAAUCUAAAUGACACUUAUGACCUAACUUGAAGUGUGGUAAAAACCAAAGGGUUCAUAUUGGCUUCGAGUGUGCGGCUAUGGAUCAUAUUUUGUUCACGCUUCCAAUUAUUAACUAAAAUAUUUUUAUAUGACUGAACUAAAGCUACAAAGAUUGGGUCAGAAAUUAUAUCUAUGUGUAUUAUUGUUUUAUUCAUUAAAAAAUUAAGUGUAAACACCCUGCGCCCUACCAAUUCUCCCUGUACCUAUUUAUGUAACUUAAGUGUAUCUCUCAUUAAUGUCUAUCAACUUCAAAUAAAUAAAUUAACUUUUAACACAAGCUAUGUCAAAAAAGUAUGGCAUCCUUUAUUCUUCUUUCCAUGUGCCUACAACAGGGGUGUACAGUGGUUACAACCUAAGGUUGAGAGCCUCCGAUAUCUGUUCCAUGAUCAUAUUAGGGUCUAAGGCCGGUUACUCAUGAUGUUUUUCUUCACGAGCGAAAGGAUAAUGUAAGGAAUGGAUGUUAGACGUAAAAUUCAACAUUAUUUUAGUCAGAAUCCACAAUGUUACAGUGAUGUUUUGGCUAUUUAAAAUUGUGAUAUGAAAGAUAACGGAAAGCAUUACGUGGGUAGAACGGAAGUGUCUAACUCGAUAAUACUUUAACGGCAGUCAAGAUCAUACUCUCGGUUACACACAAUGUUGCGUUAUAUUUUGUUUAUUGUCAUACUUUUAUUUACACUGGCAAACUCCACAGUUUUCCAAGAUGAGUUAUUAUUUCCUGAGCCGAUACAAGAAUACGAUGUUAUUAUAAAAAGUGUUGAUCUGGAAGAUUCGCCAGUGGUUAACGAUGGCUGUCCACCUGGAUCACAGAUCGAUAUAUCAGGGAUAUGUCGUGAGGUUUGGUGAAUCAGUGAUAUUAAUAUUUUGUGAGUGAAAUAAAUAGUAUGCCUGUA